CUUGGCUGCAGCUUUUUGCUCACCCCACCAGCUCACAGUCCAACUGGCCACUUCAUUCCCUGUGGGGAUCUGCUGGCCACACAGACCCUGAGCCUGGGCUCAUGGCCAGCAUUAUGCUAUAGCCUAUAGCUGAGACCAUACAGAUUAGCCACUGGGUUUAGAGAUGAAAAAAUUCUGUGCUGUCCUCUCCCUGCAACCUUUGCAGUAUUUUGUGUAGUUGAGUGAAGCCCAAACUUCAGCUGUGGCAACUAUUUUGCAGCACUUCACAGAAUUGCAUACCGAACCUAAAGGAGAAGCUCCUGGGACUGGGCUCCACAGAAGCAACCUGUCACAUACAUCCAUGAAACUGUGUGGCAGCUAAAACCAAGUAACUUUAUUCAGGAACAUACUUUUUUAUCUCCCUGAAAGGGAGAGCUCUGACUGACAGGGUAAUUCAUCAUUUACCUGAUGCACGAAGAAGUCGUCGCCUGAAGAAGCAGAGCCACACACAGUAUUUUCACACUGGUGGAGAUGUGUGCCCUCACUAAGAUCCAAUGUUUUAAAAAGUUUCCAUAACCCUAAAAAGAAAUCCUGGACUCAGCAGGGAGACCUUAAUGGGAAUCUUUGCUGCAUGCCUUUGAGCCAUAAAGCAGCACACUGGGCAGGCAUUUCUGGAGCGUGUUUCACAGUGGUAGGAGGAGCAGCUGGCUGAAAAAAACCCAGUGACACUGGCAGGUAGCACCGGAGAGAUCGAAGGACUGGUGAAAGACUGCAAAGGAUCCCCAUGCCUUGCAGGAGUGGCAUGGGUCACUGCUGCCCACAUUACUUGCCAGUCGGUGUGCUCACAGGGCUGAAUGGGGAACACCUACCUGCCGCGCUAGGUCACCUGGGACCCUUUGCAGCCCAGCCAGGCAUCUCCUUCAGUGACACAAGCUGUCAAUAUAUUGUACUUGCAUUGGCUGCAACCAGACAUCUGAUUUUGACUCUUGGGUUUGGCCACGGAUUCAGUGUUCCCAGAAGCAUCUGAUGAAGUCACCAUAGUCUGGUAUCUGUGCUCAGAAGUCUUUACAUAUGACUGCUAAAGUACAUGGCAUAUGGCAUGAAAUGCUAAGUCUCAGCCACUUUACAAAAGAAAGCCUGAAUGCGCACUGCUUGCCACGGUGAUACAGAUACCCAGUAUUACUCAUCUGUGUACUCAGUGUAAACAGUUGGUGAGACCAAAACUGCACUGUUAUUUUAUAGUUAUUACUGUUAUUUUAUGGUUAUUACAGUCACAUCCAGAAACCUGAGGCUCAAUGCCUCCUUGCAGUAAUCACUCUACACAUACAGCAUAAACACAAUCUCUGCCCCAAAACCAGUACAGAUGCUAAUGUCCACUUGCACUGCAUGUGAUCCCUCCUAUCUGCACUCACAGCAAAGCAGUGGGGUGUUGUGGGAAGUUUUUACAUUGUCUGUUCCUGUUUACAUGGUAUUUAUUCUGCAAAGAACAGCUUUAAGCUCUGACUUUUCUUAAGCAUGACCUUCCCUUACACAUUGAGCUAAUAAAUAUCUAAAGCUUUCUGCCUUUUCUUCA
rnacentral:lncRNA from 1 species